rnacentral:snoRNA from 1 species
GUCAAUGAUGAGACUUUAUUUGGUCUUGAAGACAGAAGAUCACAUAAAAAUGAUGGCAAUAAAAACUCUGGGGACC